UUGCUUGGCCCGUAUUUGAAGUAUUUGUUCACAGGGCUCAAGAUAUUCCAGUACUUGUUAACUUCUCAAUUCCCACUUCUCAAUUCCUAUAGAAACUUUAUGGCUUGCCCGGCCCUUUGCUUCGCGUCACAGUUCUAGCUGUAGGAUAAGAAGAGGCUGUUCACCCGAGAGUUAGUAGUGAUGAGUCUGUACAUUAUUAUUCUCUAACAAGUGUUACUUAUCGAAAGCUCCUUGUUUAGGGUUAACGUCUUGAAAGAGGUGAUUCUUUUGCUUGUGUCUAAGUCAGAACUUCAAUACGAGGUCAGGUCAGCAGAAACGCAAAGUGGAGUUAUUGUGUUGGCAACGAAAGAGAGAGAAUCCGCUGUUGUCGUAGGUGAGUUUAGAGUUUACCACGAGUCGAGAGAUGAGAAAUCCGUUGUUGGUUCUGAAGCGCUAAGUAGAUUAGCCAUACCAUAAUCAAAUAAGUCUGUAUGAACGAAAAUGAAACCAAUAACAUUAGGGUUAUCGAUCAGUAGUAUCAUAUGGAUCUGAAGCCUUAGAAGAUGCUGUGCUAAAGUUGUCUAUGAUAUCUUAUCUUUUGUAAUGCCCAAGUAGAGCGGCGGUAAGCAAAGGUUCAGCGAUAAGUAAAUCAGUGUCAAAGUAGUCAAUUGAAGGAAGUGCGUCAUGGUCCAAGCAUGAAACUGAAGUGUCCUAAAGUAGAGUUCUGUUCGAGGUAAAGUCAAAAGUGGAGUAUCCAGACUUUAUGCUCGAAGUCAAGUAUCUUAUCUAGUGGAAAGAGAGGAAGCUGUAAAGUACACAACUGAAUCCGCAGGAGAAGGUGAGUCAGCAGAAGAAUGGGCUGUUCCGUAUUACGUUUCAGAAUUCUUUGUUUACGUUACAGAUGAAGCAGUGGGGGCGGUAUAAAGGUUUAGUUCAUUGUCAGCAGCAAGCGGGUCAGGACCUUUUACCUGCAGCAAAGGGGUCUUAGGUCUGGUCUAUUGCUUGACGGGAGUAGUAUAGAUUAGGGGAAAGCUCCUUCUUUUCUGAUCGAAAGACACGACUCGCUAUCGCUAUAAAGGUGACAACCUAGGCAUUCCAAAGGAAGGUUAUUACAUAAGUCAUUAGAGCGAUGCCCCUUGCUUUGCAAAGAGUAGAGUUAUUCCUCUGGAGCGCAGGAUAGCCACUGACUCUUCCGAUUCAUUAAGAUAUAGGACAAGCAAAAGCCAACCCGUCAAAGUGAAGUAAGGUUCCGCAAUCGACGUAACUGGUUCAAAUACCAGAAGCUAGGUCAUAGAAGGUAGAUUCGAUUCGACAAUCUUAAGUAGUGGAGUAAGCCCUUGCCGGGAUACUCGACUGUCAGCCUCAGCUAAUCACUAGCUUCUUAAAGAAUCAAUAUCGUGUAAAGUGGGAAAGGAAGCAAAAUGCCAUCAUAGAGGGAUCAGCAUGUAAACUGGAAGGGCUAGGGAACUCCUUUAGCUCAAAGAAGGAUUUCGAAUUAGAGUUAUGGUCGAUCGGGGUAGCCUUACAUCCCUUUAGCUCAACGAAGGAUUUCGAAUUAGAGUUAUGGUCGAUCGGGCUUACCUCUUAGAUUACCCAAGCUAGUAAGUAAGCUAUUGGAUUUGGAUUGGAAAGCUAUUGGAUUUGGAUUGGAUGGAUCCCCCCAGUCCCAUAGUUCUGUAGUUACUGAAGGUAGAGUAGUAGACGGGCGAGGCCCACUGUUCUAAUCGGGAGCAAAAAGAAUUGACCUUGCUGCAAGUCAUCUGGUGGUGAAUCAUCUUUACUAUAGAUUGGAGAUCCUUCACCAUAUAUUCUAGCUGAUGCUGAUACCUUGACUUCUCUUUCCACCCGACCCUCUGCCUUUGCGCGCAUUUGGUGCGCUAUUGAAGAAAAGAACAAUUCCUAUCUAAGAAGAAUAUGACGUAGAUAAUCACAGAACGCUUCGCAUUGGCUAGCUUGCUUGGCCGCACACAUAUAGAUUCAAAUAGCCCAGAAAGUAGAUUCCAUCAUCUGCCUUUUGAUAAGAGUUUCGGUAUAGCUCUUCUCAAAGUGAGAGUUGGAAUUCUUCCCGACCAUUCCGAAGAGUAGGAAAAACAAACCCCAUAUGGGCUGGAUAUCUUCAAUACAACAAAGUAGAGUAGGUAGUCAAAGUAUUCCCGAUUUUUGGGAGUUGGCUCUACUCGUGUGCUCGAACUUUAGGAAGUGCUCUAGGUUGGGUUAUCGGGUGGCUUCCUCCUGCUUCGCCUUCGGGGACAGAAAGAAUGCCCGCUGCUCCAACUUUUACAAGCUAGCGAAAAGAAAAGGCUGCCUUAGGCGCAUCCGUUUACGAAUGAUAUCAUUCAAUAGACCUACAUUAGGGACUGGAAUACUCCUAAGGGGUGGUAAUCCGUAGAUCAAAAGAGAAACAUUGGUCCAAGAGGAGGAGAUCACCUAGCCGAAUUCCUUAAAUGGGCAAGACUCGGGUACUGCAUGCAAUAAGUCUAAUAUACUGAACUGACACAACUACAUAGAUCUGGAUUUAUUGGGGUGCGCAACCAUGGAAAUCUUUACUACAAAAAAGCCAUACCAUGAGUAUACAUGACCCAACCACCUAUCACUACCUAUAUAAAGCUUACAUCCCUGCUUAGGGAGUAUAGGUCAAUUUGAUAAGAAAAGUCAAAGGAAUCCGAGAAGACAAGACCCCAGAAGAGCAUCUCUUGUAAACCAAUUAUUCGAUCUGGAGAUCCAAGCAAGGCUGACGGAGACAUAACUAAACCCAGGGAUGUCUCUUGCAAAAAAAGAGGAAUUCGUAGAUCAUUUACAAGACAUGUACUGCCUACCCGAUGGAUAGAAUAUAGAAUUGACUCUCUGCCCUUAAUUAUAGAAUUGACUCUCUGCCACCUAUUAUUAGUAGUUGUAGAAUAGUCACCCUAUUUUGAUGUAGUAGUUGUAGAAUAGUCACCUUAUUUGUAUUAGUAGUAAUAGUCACCCUAUUUUGAUGUAGUAGUUGUAGAAUAGUCACCCUAUUUGUAUGCGCAUCCACACGACGGACACGUUCCAAGAUCUCCCGCAACGAUAACCUAACACAUGGUUUCUUGAUAGUAAGCUGAUUAAAUAAAUGGAUCAUAGGUUGUUGGUUGAAUAUUGAGUUCCGCUUAGGCUACGUGUUCUGUUCACGCGCUACUAAGCCGCACACAGGAUCUUCGACGGGUUUCGUCCCCUUUCGGGAACACCUUCUUACUUGUAGGGUCGGGGAAUGGGGCUAAGCCUGAUGCAAAUAUACCGAAAAAAGAAGAUAUCUAUGGUCGGAUUCGUAUAAGAGUAGAUUCGCCCUUUAUGUUAUGGCUCGUCCGUCUCGCGCUUAGUCACUCGCUGGGAUAGGGGAGCAGCAAGUCUUUUCUGAGAGUUUCACCUUAUAGCUUUCAGAAUGCAAUCUAGCGUUCCUAGUAAUAGAAUGGAGUAAACAACCAAACAAACCUCACUGCUUGUUGAAACCAACCCCUCACCACUGCUUAAAGCUAUUACCCCACGUAGCGGUAGCUUACAUCUUACUGAUAACUAUUUCCUUUAAUCACUCGUAUCGGCAGAGGAACCCCAUACAAAUGACUAACUAAAGGCAGAGGACUAACAAAAGGCAGAGGACUAACAAAAGGUAGAGGCCGAGGCUUAGGGUUCAGCGAAAGAUAAGUAACCUGACUCAACAAACAAGGGAACAAGACUCAAUGCAAACCUAAUUAUAGUACGGGAGCAGCUCAAUCCCUAUUUUCAGAUGCGUAUCCGUAAUAAAUGCAUUCAUAAGUUGACUCGGCGCAACAAGAAAGAUGACUGGUUGGUUGACUUGCGAGUUAGGGAACGGAGUGGAUAGUUUACAGGGUAAGUGAGCAGCUUGAUUACAUUCAUUCCUAGGAUAUAGGCGGGGGAGAGAGAUUCGGCAAUUCGAGAAGAAACAGUAUCAAUUUCGUGCGAGUCCUGUGUGAGCUUGCGCGUCAGUGGUUCUUUUCAUACAAGGACUUUCACUACAAAUACAGAAUCCAAGUUUGUUAGCCAGAGGCGGGGGAGAAGUCAAUUCUAACUGCAGAGUUUGGGGGUGGGUAAGGAGACUUCAAAUAAGGGUUAACCAACACCCCUUCUGGAUAGUAUCAUUCCUAUACAAAAGAAAGGGCUAAGGUGGGUCUGCCAGUACCUUUCUGAACUCAACUCAGUGGAUUUGACCGAGGGGAACGGAAACUACCUUUCCUUUAAAGACAGAGCUACGGCAGCUAAGGCAUGAAGAAAGAAAUGAGGAAACUUUAUAUGCAGUAGUUGAAUCGACUUCUCUGGUUGACAAAACAAUAACAGAGGUAGGUUCUGGUGUUGGCGAAAGUACAUCUGCCCGGAAGUCUAUUUCUGUUCUAAAGUCAAGUUAAGGUGUUGAAUUAGCAGGUAAAGAAGAUGGAAUUGAUUCUUUGUCUACGGGUGGUAAACUAACCUUCGCGACGUAGCAUCAGAUACAGGCCUGGCGAGCCCUUCAUGACUAAAAGAUGGGACUUAUAGUACGGACUUGUAGUUGCUUGGUCUUACUAUGUUACUUGGCAGCCUUUCUAAGUUGUUUGGCUCUUUGUAGUAUGGACUUGGUCAUUAUACUAAUAAGCUUGUUCGGUAUAUGAUAGCGGUAGUAUUGUUUCUUUGGGUGCUGUAAACUCAGUAAGCGUAAACAAGCAAAUAAGCAACAAACUCAGGACUCCGGACUCUAAUCUCCAAAACUCGGUAACCUAAACUCGCAAACCCCAUAGAGGCACCCAGAACUCCCUUUCUGGUUCUGUUUACUUUACGGCUUCCCCAAAGCUUCUGGACUCAGUUAUGACUUUCAUCUAAAAGCUUCUGAGACUCUAAGGAGGAGCAUUGCUUCCAAACAACGCCUAAUGCAAAACAGCAUCCCUUUCUUUGGCUUCUAAACUAUCUUAUGGAAAAUGGAGUGCACAAACGAAUGGAGGCAUAACAGCAUUGCUUCAAGACUCCUGACUCGUUGCUCUAUAACUCGAACCCUUUACCCUUAACAACAAAAAAACACUUCAUUGCUUUCCUUUGGCUUCCUAUCUUCCAAAGCUCACUUACAUACUUAGGCUUUCGCAGUUGCCUUGUUCAUUCCGCUCGCUAAGCACUUGUUCUUUCGCAGUUGCUUGUGCUGCUACCUACCCUUUGUAUUAAGAAUCACAUAAUCUUUCUCGGAUAAGACCUCUGAUCUUUAUCGGGAUAAGACUUCUUUUCUUUAGCGGCAUAAUACCACUGGCAUAAUACCACUGCCCGGACUUCACUUUGCAAGAAAGGUGCAGUUAACACCGCCUUAAAUCAAAUCUCUGUAUCCUAUAGAAUGUCAGUUAGUAACAACACUGCAAACUCCAAUCAAGUAAAAGAGUAUUUUAGAGCUUUACACAUAUUGAGAUUAAGUCAAGUCAGUCUAUUAAGUGUCAUGUUAUUCUUGUGCACUUAUAAGAAUCUUCUUGUUUUUCGGUUCGGUGUGUUGGUUACGUGGAUUAUGGAAUGAGUGAGUUAUAUUAUAUUAUUAAGUAGAGUAGAGUAAAGAAGAGUAUAUGUGAGUGUGUGUAAUUUGACUAUAUUAUAUGCUAUGCUACUUAUUUAUUUAUUUAUUUCAAGCAAUGUCAAUAACGGCAAGAAUCAAGUACUUUUUUGUCUAGGCUAGGGUUAGGAAAGUUAGCAAUGCAGUUUGUUUUAGUUGUUCCAUUGAUUCAUUUCCUCAUCCUCUUGUGCCAUGCUCAUUGUUGCCAAUGUAUCCAUCUGUCUAUGAAAGAAAGGGCUUCAUACCUCGGGGUAGCGUCCACCAGUCAUUCUGUAAUCGGAAGAGUAGGACAAGGCGUUCAAGUAGUGCUUUCCCUCAGUAUUUCAACACUUAUAAGCAUAGCUUAGGGAUGGAGUAAUAGUGAUGACCAUAUGCUAUACCUGUCUGGAUGCUAUACCUGUCCGGAUGCUAUACCUGUCUGGGCUAAGGCAGUUUUCUAUAAUCACAGCAAAGGUUUAGACCAUAGUGGAGUGUAAAUGGGCCAAGCAAC
rnacentral:lncRNA from 1 species